UUUCUUCUUGGGAUGAAAGAAUUCAUCUCCCUCUGUUUGGGGCUCCCCACUCUGUAUUAUGUUGAAUUCUAAGUUGAGUAUCUCAGACAGCCUCUAUAGCUAGUUGUUAUCUAUCUGCCAUCUUGCUCCAGAAGGAGCGUAGCAGUUUUCUUUCCAUGGGUGAUACCGUGAUCGCAUUUUACCCUGGCAUAAGCGAGAUUUUGAAGCACUAUCAUUUGAUUGUCUGGAAAAGUCCAGGCACAUUUGGGCCUAUGUGGGCCCCUUCCUGGUGUGUCUGUUUGAUUUUUUUUUCCCUUGGAGUAGUGAAGGGGCCCACUGUGGAGAAUGAGAACAGUUUUAGGGCUAUUUUAUGUUGGGCUUUCAAGUUUUGUUUCAGGUCACUUGUUCCCCAGGCAGAGUCCUUAGCUGCCAUUUUUGAAGCCUCAUCAGCUUUGUGAUUUUCAGGAGUAACAGUGCCUUUACUUUUGGGUGCCCUUUACAAUGGAUAAUGGUGAUUUUCUUAGGCUUCCACAUUGCAGUGAGGUGUUGAGAAAUCUCGUAUUUGUUUUUAAUUUGUUUCCCUUAUACUGUGAGAAGUCCAUUUUCCUUGUACAACAUUACAUGGACAUAAACAGUGACAAAAGCAUACCCUGAAUCAGUGUAUAUGUUUUCUCUUUCGUUUUUUGCCCAGUUUAACAGCUUGUUUCAAGACCCAUAAUUCAGCUCAUUGAGCAGACCAGUUUUAUGGAAGAGGCCUGCCUAGGAGCAUUUCCCCUGUGGUAACAGCAGCAUAUCUGGCCUGGCAUUUUCCAUCCUUGACUCAGCUACUUCUAUCCAUGAAUAGGGUGUACACAGCAUUAGACAGGAAUUAUAUCUGUAGAUCUGGACAGCUAACAAAAAGCUCAUCAAUCAAAAUGAGACAGUUGUGGUCAAGGAGUGCAGAGGGAGGCUCAGUGGGCAAUAAGGUGGCUGGGUUUAGAGGUUUAGUUAGUGGAAAGUAAGUCAGAAAUUUUUAUAAUGCAGUCCUUAGUACUACGUGACAUGGCUGGUCAAGAAUCAACCAUGUCCCCACUGUUGAGUAGCUUUAGAACAGUAUGUGGCACCUGGACAGUCAGAUUUUGUCCCAAAGUUAAUUUGUCAACCUCCUUGAUUAGGAGGACUUGGCUGUCUGUGCCGUCAGCCAGGGGCCUAGCCUUUGGCCACCAAGUCCAUAUUCUUUGACAAAUGGACAGUGAGUCUUUCCCACAGGCUGAUCUUCUGAGGGAGGACUCCUGAGGUGAGAUGUCUCCAUUUAUCAGUGAACAGGUUCAACAGUAGAGAUGUCUAGUGCCAGGACAGUUGACAGCACCCAAAUUAUCUGAAAAGAUUUAGUUUUUCUAAAAUCUAGUUUAAUAGCUCUCUUUCAUUUUUUUUCCUGCCAGCAUCUCAUAUAUAUGCUUUUUCAGUGAACACCAGCGUCCAAAUUCAACAGAAGCCUUCAGCACCCAGGAAUUUUCUAAGCUGUCUUUUAUUUUCAAGACUCAGAAUGAAACAGAUGACUUCUUUUCUCUUGGGACCCAGGCACCUGACUCCUUUUUCUAAAUUAAACUCUAAAUAACAUACUUUCUGUUUGUGUAUUUGAGUCUUUUUCCAGGAGAUUUUAUAGCCUGUGGCCACCAGGUGGAAGAAAAGAGCCUGUGUUUCCUUCCCGUAGUCUGCCUUGUUUGAGCUACAGAUUCAGUGCUUCCCAGGGAGGGUAUGGGAGUUCUUGAGACCUUGUGGUAAAUAAGACCAGGUAAGUUGGCCUUUCUGUCCUGUCUCUGGGUCCUGCCAUCCAAAGGCAAGUACAGGAUGACAGGUGAAAUUUACAAACAGAAGAAAGCAUCCUUUAAGUUCAGACAGGUAAACCAGGCAACCUUCGGGGGAAGCAUAAGGGUUGGAGACUAUUGAAGACAGAGUUGUGGUGGCUGAGUUGAUGAUAUGGAGAUCCUGCAUUGGUUGGUAGUCACCAUUUGGCCUUUUUUACCAGGAGGAGGGGAGUGUUCCAAGAUGAUUGGCAGUCUAUAAGGAUUCCGAAUUAUUUCAGGCAGAGAUGUAGAGCUAGCUGCCAAGUUGACCCUCUCAUGACAUUGGAUACUGCUUAAGAGCAUUGGGGGCUGCAGUGGGACAGAGCUCAAUCACCAAAGAGGCAUGAUUGAUUGUAAGCCCUAGAGGUAGGUCUUCAGUCCAUACUUCUGGGAACAAGUCUUUCAAAGCACAUCCCAGAAGAGUGAUAGGACACUCAGGCAUGUACAAGAAUUUAUGUUCAAUAAAAUGGAAUCUUGCGUGACCUGCUUUGACAGAAUUUCUUUUCAGUGGGGGCUCCAGUGGCUCCAAUACUUAGGCUUGCCAAGAGGAUAAGGGAACAACAAGCUAAGUCACAGCUGAAUGUCCCACUUUCCACCAUGAAAGUCAUAGGUCCUCUUCCGAUUCUGGCAACAACCAUGGGCUCCCAUAGGCCCAGUGUAAUGGAGCCUGGCCUGUCCUAUUUAGUGACAUUGAAGAGUGGCAGAAGAGGCUCAGGCUGGGGUAGCCUCAGACAAUCAGGUUUCUUUGUGUCCCACAGAUGGAGGGGGAAUUUAUCUUUUUAGUUUGUUUCUAGCGAGCGCAUUGGUCAGUUGCCAGGGUCUUGGAUCUGCCACCAGUUUUAGGUGGCCCCUUAUAUAUUGUCUGCUGUGGGGGGAUUUGUCUUGGUGAGAUAUUUCAGGAACAAGUUUUCUAAACAUUGCAGCCUGGAGAGCAGCUUUCUGCUGGGUUCUAUGACCUGCCUCAUAUUGCUGUUUUUUCUUUUCCUCUAUCUGUGGGUUCAUGAAAACCUUAUGAGCAACCUGAAGUACAGAACAAGCCAGUAGUAAAUACAUAAUGGCUUCUAUAACAUGUCUUGCUAUCUUUUAAAUAGCUGCUCGUGCCAUCAGAGUUAACAUAAACAAAAGAAAAUAAAAAACCCAACCCAUCAAAACAGUGAAAAUGAUAUUUGUUCCUGGGGGGACCUCCUCCCAUGAGGCCUGGUUCUCUCCCUCCACAGUCCGCAAAUGGUGCUGAUUCAUGGAGAAGGGCCUGGGUCUGGCUCCUUUCACUGGGUUCUUGAGUGACUUUGGUUACUUUGGACAUGUGUAUUGGCUUUUUGUUUUCUUACUUGAGUCUUUCAAGGAGAUCUUUGCAGUACUGAUCUAAGGCCUUCUGUCAUGUUGCAGCCCCAGUUUGGAUUCACUUGUAGGAAUGUUGUGUGUACCCAAGCAUCAGGAUCAACCACAGUCGUGGGGGCUUUUGAUCUUAGCCAGAUUUGGCCCCCUCUAGAAUGUUUAGCAUUCUUCAGUGCUAAACAGGGUCAGAAGGAGCUUCUGACAGUCAUUCCAUGACAGUAAGUAGGUCUAGAAGAUGGAUAUAAGGAGGUUAGUCUUUGCUUGAGGUUCCUCAAGUAAAGAGGUUAUGGUGCUUCCAGUGGAGGAGGUCAGUGGAACUAAAUAGCCGGUGACACAUCACAGAGGUGGUUGGUUGGGUGAAUUUCCCUGACCUCCAGGGUAGACAUGAAGUGGCAGCUGGAGAUGAACUGGAGCUUCUGACUGGCAGAGCACAGAUGAUGGGUGAUAAGGCUGUCAGUGUCCCUGUAAAUGUUGACAGUAUCUGAUAAAGAAUCAAUCCAGGGCUUAGGAAGUGCUGCAGAGGCUAUUGGCAGCGGAGCUGUGAAAUCUGGGAUGGCUGUGUUAGAUGUAGAUCUCUGGGCCACUAGAGGGUGCAGCUGUAGCAGGUCAAAAGCGAUAUGGAUUCUGAGACAUGCUUGAUGGUGGUGACAGCCACAGUGCUUGGAGCUGUCACUAGGAUGGCAGUGGAAGCCCUGGCUGCAACGGUGGCAGUUCUGGCCAUGGUGGUAGAGAUGCUGGCUGCGGUGAUGGUGCUUGGUCAACAGUGGGCAUCCUGAGGCCAGCUAGGUAAAAAGGAGGCAGAUCAGACUCAGGGUCUUCAGUUAAGACAGAAUAAAGCUUCUCUAGUUUAGGGGAGGCCUGAGAGGGAAUUUGUUUUGAUGGCCAGGAUGAUCCUUUUUGUCAUGCAGGGUGUGGGCAUGAAGCCAAGGUGACAGGCUCUGAUACAAGUUAAGCCAAGAGCUGAUAUAAGGGAACCAGCCAGAGUGGCCAGUUUGGGGUCUGUUACACCAUUGCAGACUUGCUGGGCAGUCUCAACAUUGAGACUUUCGUUGGGUGGCCAAUCCAGGCACAGGUCUGGCCAGCCAGUCUCAUGGAAAGCUCGCAAGCUUUGAGGUUUCAUUUUUCACUCCACAACCAUCAGAGAAUCCUUUCUUGAAGUUUUUCAGCAUACACUCAAGGGCUGCAGGUUACUCUGGCUCACACCCCUCCUGUCUCCCUAUAGUGUAUGAGUAUACCCUUCAAUAGUGGUGCAACAGACAAAGGGUGGGUGCUGCUCACAGAGACCAUUCAGAUGAUUACCUGGCUGCUUACCUCUAAGCAACACUAGAACCAUCCAGACUUUGGAGAAGAGUCACUAGGUUCUUUGUUUUGUCCUUAUUAAUCAUGUCCAUGGAACCACAAGUUGGGGCCCUCAAGCUCCACAACUCUGAGGGCCUAAAAGGGCCUUUCACUGUGAGGCACAGAGCGGCUUCCUGCUUUCAAUGUCCAUUAUAAACACUCACACAGUCAUUCAGCAGCCUUUCAGAAGUUAAAUAUUCCAACCCAUUUACCCUCAUGGGUGGCCUUAACUAAUGAGACAUGAUCAGGCUCUCCUUCUGCUUGAGUAUGAGCAGGACUGACUGACAGACUGACUGAGUGGAAUGCCCCUGGGGUCUUAGCUUAUCUGGUGGUCUGACCUGAUUGGGUCCUUUCUCCCUCUUCUGGUUCUGACAAGGACCAUCAGCACCAAGCAAGGGCUCUAGUCCAGGUUCCAAGGGGACUCGAAGAAGAUCUGGAGGGUGUGCCUUCCUGUUGAGGAGCCUAGGGAGGUCCCUGCUUCAGCUGCCAGGCCUCACCCAGUGAGCUAUGUGGUCAUCAUGGUCUUUCCAGUCAGGGAGCCAAGAAGUAUUAUGUACAACAGACCAAACAGGAAGAAAUGGCAAAGAUUUAGCAGGUAGUUUAUUACACUGGUGGGCUUCACUGAGAUCUUUCCCAGAGUCAGAGCCCUGCUUGGUGGGAUUCUGGGGCUUUUAUGGGGAAAGCAAGUGCGGAGGUACAGAAGUAGAUUUGGUGCAUUAUGAUUGGAGGGUUGGGUGACAUUUUGCGUUGUUAAGGGAGUUUAAACAUUUCAAGUUGCAUUGCAAGGUCAUCAGUUUUACAAAGCAUGGGCUAUACAAAGGAAGGAAUGUCCUAUUACAUUUUAAGUUACAUAGCAAGUCCAUCAGUUAUACAAAGGCAGUAAAGACAGGAGUUACACAAAGGAAGAAAUGUUCUAUUAUCAAGGUCUGUCUAGAUAUGUCCACUGGUUUUGGAUGGCAUUCUUGGCAGGCUUUAUUUAAAAUUUUAAUUUCCCUUUCAUUGUGUGGCCAGAGAGUCUAGAGCCCCCUAGUGGUGGAGCCACUUUGAUUUGUCUGAGAUGGCAUUGGUUCCAGUCUCAACCUGCUGAAAGAUGCUAGUGUAAGUGCAAGAAUCACUGAGGAUAAACCACACCCUGCUCAGCAGUGAGCAUCCAGUUCAGCUCCUGCCGAUGUUCGAGACCAUGCCAGCCAGUUAGUCCAGUGACUUUUGAAGGUCUCUGAAAUUACUGCCAUCUCUGUAGCUGCCACAGUGAGAUUUUCAUUUGCAGAGUGUUAAUCCUGUAAAUUAGUAUACCCAAGGCAGCAACCAAAGCUGUUACUCCUAGCACAAUGAGGGUUACAGGCUAACAUUUUUUUCAUGCAAUUUCAGUGUCCAUUCCCUCCUGUUAGAACACUGGCUCAGAGGACUGGUUAUUAAGAGCUUAAGUCCCCCUUCACUUGGUCCCAACUGGAGUAAGCUCCUGGUGCCGCAGCAAGACCAAGGAUUCAGAUAUUGAAUUCCCAGGCUUUUCUUGGGGUUCUUUGCUGUCCACAAAACACUUAUCCCUGGAGCACAAAGGAUCUGGGCCUAGACAUCCUGUUUUACCUAGAUACUGCUAUGUGUUACUCCAAGAAAAAAUCUCUAACAUUUUUUCUUGAUUUUCUUGGAAACCAUCGAGAUGUCUGUAGGUAGGUGAAUGGAUAAGUAAUCUAUGGUACAUGCAGGCAAUGGGAUGUCACUCAGUGUGAAAAAGAAAUGUACUAUCAAGUCAUUUAAAGACAGGGGAAGAAAUUUAAAUGCAAAUUAUUAACUGAAAUAAAUCAGGAACAAGCUGUGUAUAGUUUGCUUCUAGUCUAGACAGUCCAGAAAAGGUGAAGCACUAAAAAUGUUAGUAAGUGACAGAGACGGGUGACAGUAGUAUUUUAGGGCAGUGAAUCUACAGCAUAAAACACUAUCAUGGUAAGUACAUGCCAUAUACAUUUGUCAAAACCCAUAAAGCACACAACUCUAAGAGUGAACCCUAAGGGGCUUACUUCAAUGUGCCCACCUAGGUUCACCAGUUAUAAAGACAGACUGCUUGGGUGGAUGACGUUGCUAAGGGGGAGACAAUACAUGCAUGAGAGAUGGUAACAGGAAAUCUCUGUACCCUCCCUCCGUUUUGCUGUAAGCCUAAAUUGGCUCUAACAAAAACGUCUUAUUCUAUUAAAUUUCCAUUUUGGAAAUAUAAUUGUGACCUUGGUAUUAAUACCCCCAUCCAUUCAUAUCAAUUUGAAAAUUCUUAUGCCAUCAUCAAAUCCUACUCUAACUACUAAUGAUCAUAUGUCAAUAAAGCCUCCUUUCUUUCUUUUUGGACAUGGUCUUGAUAUAGGGGAAUGAAACUGUCAAUCUACUAUAUGUCUGGUAUGAGUUGAGUCCUCUAAAAUCGAAGAAUAAAUUUUAGGAACAACUGAUGUUAAGAGUAGAAUAUAUUUAUUGAGAGGAAGAAAGCUUCUGUCUGAGAGACAGAAGUGGUUCCGAGUAGGUUGUCAAAGGCUCUGUCUUUUCUAGGGACUUUUAUAGAGUAAAAUCAUGGGGUGAGGCGGGUUCAAGGUGAGAAAACUGGGAACUCAUAAGGCAGAUGGGCAUACAGUGGGACAGAACUAUGGUUAACCAAUAAGAUUAAUUGCUUAGCUAAAAUUUAUUAAAUUGGGGACAAAUGAGGAAGCAAGUCAUACAGAAAGUGAGUAUUCUUACAGAGCAGUAACUUCCCAUAGAGGGUUGGGAUGGUGACUCCUGGCUUUCUCAGGGUGACAAAGAACUAUUUAGAAUAUCAGUCCUUAGGAUAUGAGUGCAUUUGUUUGAUCUUUUGUCUUGAGGCUUGGCCACAGCAGGAGGUGUCUGUCUCCCUCACAGUUGCAAGGUACCUGCGCUUCUACACUGGCUCCUUCGAGGACUCAGCCCUGUCUCACUGCCUAUAAUAUUUCUAACUAGCUCAGCUAGCUAUAACAGUCUCACUUUGUAGUAUAGGCUGGCCUGAACUUGCUUAUAUAGCCCAGACUGGCCUCGAACUCAUAGUGAUCCUCCUGCCUCAUCCGCCUCAGUUCUGGGGUUACAGGCAUACUCCACUAGGAAAUAAUUUCUACUCUACAUGUUUAAUAGUUCCAGCUAGGAUUAUGUGUAGACUAUGCACUAAUAUCCAGUGGCUGGGUGAUUUCACCCUAUGGAAGGAUGUCCUCCUUGAUUCGCCCAAUCUGUUAUGUGUGGAAAAGAGUUACAAGACAUAAACCAGCAGCUGCUCCAUCACAGGGGCUUGCGCUUCCUGCAUUUCCUGCUGCCCUGCUCCUGACCUCUUCUCAAUAUUUCUCAGGAAAGCACGGGGCGGGGGUUGGGGGUUUUCUUUUCCUCCUCUAGGGUGGAAAGCCCAGACAGUACCGUCUCAGAAAAAACAAACAAACAAAAAACUGUUCUCAUUUACAGACAGGCCUGAGACUCAAAAACGUUCUGUGAAUACUUGGUUUUUCUCCCUGCUCCUACCUCAGACUUGGCCAUUGGUUUCCUACCGCCUGCCUGCAGGUGCCUCAGGACUGCAAAGGUCACUAGAUGGCGCCAGUGUCUUUAGUUAGCAAGGAUGAUCCCUGUGGUUUAGGAGUCAGAGGCUGCUAAUUGCUCUUAGACCAGAUUAUUUUACCCAAGUAGGAGGUGGUGAAGUGCUGAGAGUUGAGUUGCUUACUUGAGGUUGUACAGCAAGGAAGUAUUCAUACCCAUAAAGCAGGGCCAGAAGCUUAUGUUUUCUUUGAUUUUGUUUUGCAGAAAUACAUUUUAUCAGUGUAAGAAGUACUAAAUCACUAUAUCCUUUCCAAUAUAAAUAAAUCUUAUUUUAAAUUGAAAGAAUGCAUGAACUGGAGUUUGCUGAGGAAGCCAUUGUCUCUACUGAUCUGCAUGCAGAUAGACAUCAGCUGCUUAACCAUUCUGAUUGUGAAGAGAUAGAAUAUUGUAGUCCAAUAACCAAAGUUCUCUUGGGCUCUUUUUAGUCCUUCUUGACAGCCAUUUACUAUCAGUCUCUGUAUUUGACUUAACUAUUCAAUAAAAAUCUCUCUUCCAUGUCAUUCAGGGUAACUUGAGUCCAUAUUCCUGGGCCACACUUAGUCCAAAUAAACCUGUUUUAUAAUUGGGCUCAGGAUAAACUAUUUUCUUAUUUCUUCUAAAGCAGAGCCUGCAUGGUAGGGACUUAAUAAAUUGUAACUCCUGUAAGCAAUAAGGGCAAUAUUGUGUCUGUGACACUUGUAAUUAGACAUGAACUUUUGUUGAAUUGCAGUGGUUUGGGUAUGCAGUGUGUCACUCUAGGCACGUCACAGUUUCUUCUCAGCUGCCUCAAAUGGGCAAUGGGAUCCUGUACCAUCAUGGCCUGAGGGGAUUCUAGGAGGCAAUCUGUGAAAUGAGCCAAGUACCACUAAGGGCACAAUGAGGACAACCUGCAGGAGGUGCCAUCACCUGGUGACAUCCACACCUGGUAACAGGUGCGCUGGGCUCUGUUGCAUCCUCUAGGACACAGCACUGACCGCAGCCCACACAGCUCUACACACCAGACCCCAAGGACUUAGAAAGGAUAGUGUCUUAGCCAGGCAUAGAGCAGCAUCCAGUGGACAUUAGUGAAGUGUCUCCUGAAAAGAAUGUUUAAGGCUGUAACAAACGCUGGCAGAGGCCAUGAGAGCAGCCUGCCUAUGCUCAGACUUCAGCAAUUGCAGGGUCACUGUACACCAGAGCCCCAUGUGCUCAUGGAGACCGGUGCAGGUCUCUAGGUUCUGUGGGCACAGCAGCACUGCUUUGGAGGUUCUGUCCCUGACAGCCAUGACCUAAGCUCUCCCUCAGCCCUGCCCUAUGGAGCUUCCUUUCUGGCCAAACUCACAACACUUUAAAUCAUCCUGUUGGGCUCUUUGCUCCUGAUUCUCAGCAUAGAUCUGGUUAAAAGCCCCUAACAACAGCUAUGCUACAGCCUCAACAUUUGACUGCCUUGAAUUUUUUUCUGCAAGAUUAACUAGUCAACCACCCUUAAUCUCAGACUCAGGCUUAUAAAAAGUCUAAAAAGUAUUCAUUCAAUUGAGGAGGCAGCUGUGGCCAGCAAAGGGUAUCAGAAGUCAUCUGGAGAAGGUUCUGGCUGAGUUCCUGGCCCUAGCUCUGCUGCAGCCCAUCAGAUCCCUGCUCAAGUCUAGGACUCAGUUCUCCAUCUAUAGAUGGAAGCAGUAGUCCUGGUCCCAAACAUGGUGCAUGUCAAUCUAGGUUGGUCUGCUGCGCAGGCAUUGCUUCUAGUAACUGUAGGGCUGGGCCUCCUCAUGGCAGCCAGCUUUGGAGCUUGGAGUGAGCUUUCUUCUAGCUUGAGGCUGAAGCUAGCUCCUGAUCAGAUAGACCUCUUGUUACCCUGCUUGUUGCUUGUGAUGAAUGAGGGCAGAACCUUCUAGAGGCAGAUAGGUGAAACUGAAGAUCUAGAAUCAGGGUGUCUCUUGGUUGCAAAUUCGUGUCUGUUUCUAAAUUCUACAUGUGUUGGGGCCAAUUAUUUUAUUAAUGAUAGCUUCUAUUUACAGGGGGCAGCUAUGUGCCUUGCCCUGAGUACACAUGAACCUCAUAAAGUGGGUAGAUAAGAAAACUGAAUGUCAGAGGACUGGAGGGAUCAUGAAUCCAAGAAAGGGCAGAGUUCGGAGUUACCUCCAAGUCUGACAGUAGAGUUAAGCUUAGCCACAAAACAUGCCCAUCCAUGCCUAUCCAGUGCCACGACUUUGGGAUAUCUUCAUUGUACAAGUGAGAAUAUCCUGGACCAGAGAGCACAGGGGUUGUUUCUAGAGCAUAGACUAAGUGCAGGGGACAGGUUGAAGUCUGGUAUUUUUUAGCUGUCUGUUGAACACAGGGUGUUCCUGAGAGCUUGAUGACAAAUCUAUGCUCUCCAAAGCAGAAUCCCCUGUUGUUUCUUUUCUUUGCUCACCUCUAGGAGCAGCAGAGAUGGGAUUCCUACAGUAUUAGAGAGCUCAUCUCUAAUGAGACAGGCAGCUCUUGUCUAGAAAUCUGAGAAUCAGGUCACUUCUUUCUUCUCUUUCCUCGAAGUUCAGAGGAGUCACAUCUCUACCUCUCAUAGCCUCACCCUCCUUUCUGAAAGGAGUCAGUUUCUCAGUAGUCAGUUUCUGCCUUAAAUAAGCCAGGCAUAUGCACAAGCUUGGUCUGAGCCACUGCAGCCACCAACGGGAGAGUAGCGGCUACAGGGCUGUUAACUCUGUCCUGUGCUGAUGCAGGAAGCUAUCAGAACCCAGUGUCCAGGUGGCAGGGCAAGAAGGUGUUUAGUUGGGGCUGGAGAUAUAACUGAGUGAUAGGGCAUUUGCCUAGCAUGCUGGGUUUGAGACCCAGCACCAGACCCACACCCACAAAGCACUUGAACUCAGCCAGAGCAAGGUUCAAAUCCUGUGUGUGUGUGUGUGUGUGUCCCCAGCACUGAGUCAGCUCCUAGGCACAGUAGUAAACAAAUGCCUCUCACUGCUUUAAAUUGUUUUGUAUGCAUAUUUAGGGUCCACAGGGACAGUAGGGGCAGUGAGAAAGGGUCUUGGCUCUUUAGCUGUCAUCCAGGACAGACUUCAGCUUUCUCCACAUCUUCCCCAUGCAGUGGGUAUGGGUGUGUGUGUGUGGGGGGGGAUUAGACUCUGAUGCCUAGUUACUGCCUGCUCUGGAGGGUUGCUCUGUACCAGGCACCAUGCCCAGUGCUUCCCAAGCAUUGUCUCCGUCCCUCCCAACAGAGUCUCAAGAGGGAGAUCUUUAUCUCCUUUACUUGAAAUAUGAACAACUGGAGGCCCACAGAUGUGAGCAGCCAGCUGCAAGGACACCUACCUAGUGCAUGGAAUAACCAGGUUCCUAUCUGGACAGGCUCUUGUGACCCUGGCUUACACAAAUCAGUGGUAGGGAGCUGUGACUUCAGACAAGGCCUAGAAAUAGCCCAGGAUCUUGUGUAUUAGGGGAAGCAGAAGAGGCAGAAAAGUCCAUUUACCUCAGCUUGUGCAGAUAGCAAGGAGCUAUGAGGAUGUGGGAACAAUGGAGGGUUUGCUCUGAGUUCUACUUGAAGUUUCAGUGACCAAGGUGGACAUUUUCUGCCAGCUCUUAAAAGAAAACGUCUUUUCUCUUUCUCCCUCCUUCCUCCUUUUCAUUCUUCCUUUCACAAAUAUUUAUCAAAUGUAUGCUAUGUCUUGGGUACUAUUGUAGAAGGUGCAAGUUGAGAAGGGAGAUAAAGAGAGUCAUUACAUGAUCUCACUGAGUGUACAGUCUAUUGGAGGGACAUACAGAUGAAUGAUGUAUCUUAAAAGUAACAAGUGCUAUGAAGCCUAUAAAGGUUGGAAAGGGAUGAGAGGGGCUCACCAGCAGUGGUGGUCUUGGUGGCAUCUUGAUGGGUGAUGCCUGAGUAGACAUAUGAAGAAAAGGAAGAACUGGAGUAGACACGUGCUGGAAAGCUGUUUGGAACGGUUUGAGGCCAGAGUAGAAUGAACAAGAGCAGAAGUCAUAGAAAGAACUGGAGGCUGAUUGAAAACACUCACUUUUGCUCUGGGGAUGAUGGGAGCCCCAGGUGGAUGUGGUGGUGCAUGUCUGCAAUUUCAGCUCUCAGGAGAGUUAGACAGAAGGAUUGCUGCAAAUUCAAGGCCAGCUUGGGCUACAUAGUUCAAACCCAGCCUAAACUGCAUAGUGGGACCCUACCUCAAAAGCAAACAAGCAAACAUAGGACUGAUGGAAGAGUUUUGAGCAGGCAAGUAAUCUGUGAGUUUGUCUGAAGACAAAUGAGGGGGGACAAAGGCACACAGUCAUCAGGUCAGAAAGGAAAGUUCUGCCAAAUUUGUUGGGCUUUAGAUUUUUGGGCUGGGAAUCACAGUCUCCUCCAUCCCCUUUUGGGGCUAGGUAGUGAUUCCAGAAGGGUUUACCAUCAAAUGCGUAGAGGAGUGUAGUUAGUUACUUUUCUCUCAUUGCUGAGCCACAAUACCUGACACCGAAAAUUGAAGGAAAGGUUUAUUUAGCUCACAGUUUGUGGAGGUUUUAGUCCAUGGUCAGCAGGCUGUAAGGCAGGAUGGCACAUGGCAGAGGGGCAGCAGUUCAAGGAGGCAGAAAACAGCAAAAGCAACAAGAGCAAAAAGGAGAUGGUGCAAGUCUCUUUUCCUCCCUUAUAUUGAAAUCAGGUUACCCACCUUGGAACAGGUAUAGCACUCACAACAUCUCCCUCCCCUCUUCUUGCACAGACUCAGGAUGUUUACAAAGUGAACACCCUGGCAUCCUGCUGAAUCAACCAUUACAACAUCCUAGAGGGUAAACAGCUUACCUUAGGGCAUGUCCGUUGUACCCUAGAAUGUAGAACUGCUGAGUUACUUAGUUAAGCUCCUAACUUCUCAAGCUAACACAACGAAUCAACCAUAAAAGAGUUCCAGGUGACAUUUAGGGGCUUCCUGGAAGCAGUAAGGACUGACUCAGACUGUGAGUCUGAGGGCUAGAGUUCUCCUUGUGAGCACUACAGCCCCAUCCAUUCAGUGGAUGCAUUGUGAUGCUUUUUCAAGGCUUAGGCAGUGUUCUGGAGGUGGUGGGAGGUGCUGAGCAUCUGUAGCAAGCUAAAUGCACUGGUUCUCUUUGGCCAGGUGUCAGGAAGAGCUUGACUUUCUGGCUUCCUUGUGUCCCUUGCUGUACAGUUCAUGAGUUGCUCAAGGAGCCAAGAAAACAUCUAGUUGUGGGUUAGCCAGGAGGAAAGGGCACCAUUGUUCCCUGGGGUCUGGUACAGUUGCAGGUGCAAAACACUGAGUAGUAUAUGAGGAGGCCUAAGUCCUUGUUCCACUCCUGCUUCAGUAUCCAUAUGUCUCAGAGGUGCAUGGCUCCCAGAUCCUCAGCUCCUCUGAUUCAGCAUGAUUUGGGCCACUUUCUGAGUCAGGUGUACCCUGUUUUUCUCUACUCUGAAUUUGCUGCAUCUGACUUUAAGACAUAAUAAAGCUAAGUAGUUAAUAAGGCUCUCUGGAUCCUUUACUCUGCUCAAGGAAAAUCAGAGCUCAGCUAAAUUCUUCUUCACAGAAUAGAAUUUUUUAAAUCGAAAAACAGCCUGUACUGAGUCAUUUAUAGAGGUGCCCCCAUUUAACCAUCCAGUGCCCUGUGAAAUGGAUGAGACAUCUUACCUUCCAAUAAGGACACUUGGGCACCCAGAUGGCAGGUAACUUGCCCAAGGUCAUGGGAAUUAUAAUGACACAGCAUGGUGGGCUGGCUUCAGAACUCUUCUUUGCAUUAUUCUGGGGGCUAAAUCCUGCAGUCCACAUGUCUUGAGCUGUGCUGGGAGCACAGAGUGUGACAGAGACGAAGCUUUGGGAUUAGACAGCCCUGGCUCAAAUGUAGCUUUGCCUUUAGCAGCCUGUGAACUUCUCCCUUCAUAGUCUCCUCAUGGGCCUGGGAGUGGCAAAGGUGUCUGUUAUCUCCCACAGUAGCCUGGCUGCUAGAACUUCUGGAGGGAUCAGCACAGUGCUCUGCUCAUCUUUCUAGAAGCAAGAUGAGCUCAGUUGCAGAAGAACCCUUGACACCUUCUCUGGCCGCAGCUGAAUGUACCAAGGCUCUCUAGGAUUUUCUUUGGGGGAGCCUGGGGCUGAUGAGUCCUGGGCUGGCAGCACUAUAGCCCCAGAGCAGUGCUGUGAAUUGAGUGGCAAUAGAAAUUUCUUGAGCCCAUUACUUGGCAUCUGAAGGGCCCAGGGUCUUGGCUGGCUACUUUCCUGUCCACUCAGGUCUCUGAGCCUCCUUCUGGGUAUGGUUGUCCAUCAUUCCCUGGAGAUAGUUUCUUGGUCUGAGGAGCUCUGAGCCUUUGUGGGCCAUCUGUUCACUGAGUUGCUUUGAACCCAGGGCUGAAGGGCUUGAGUUCCUACUGCAGAUGGGGCUUAUAGGUGAUCUGGGAAGAUGGUAGAUGAAGAGAUCUUUAUGCUUUUUUUUCUUUGCACAGUUUUGUAUUCAGAUUGUGUUUAUUAACAAUGGUAGCAGUAAAUUAUGCUUAAUGAAUACGUUACAAUUAUAUCAACUUCAGCUUAAUACCAAACUAAAAGUUUUGCUUCAUCUCAAUCCAAAAAGCAAUCUUUUAAGUAACAGUUGAUCUUUACUGACAGGGAAAUUGAAGCAAAGAGAAGUUGAGAAAUUGAACCAAGAACACGCAGUGGAGAAGCAGUAGAUCAGGGUCCAUUUCAAGUUCAACGUUACGAAAACUUUCUAGAAUAGUGAUGGCAAACCUUUUUGCAUUUUUGGUGAUAACAAAUGACCUGCUACAAUAUGUGUGCUAUAAGUUCACCACUGAAAAACAAGAAACUAGUAUAUAAACAUAAAGGGUACAGAAAGGAUAGAAAAUUGAUUUAUGAAUUUAAGUGUUUGGGGAAAUUCAAGGUGAUCAUAGUGUAUCAACCAUUACAAUCUAAUUCUUUUCAAUUUGGCAAGCAGAUACAUUUCUUUAAACUGGUUUCCAGAUACAAAGAUGUGCUUAUUCUUAUCAUUUCAUACCUUGACAUUAUAACACAGAUUUAACAAUCCUUAAGAACAAGUAUUAAAUCUAUCAACAUUAUAUUACAUUAGAACUAUAACACUCUGCUCCUAAGCCCCCAACAACUCAUGUACAUCCCAUUAUGCAAAAGACAUUUAGUCUAUCUGCAAGAGUAGCUAAAGUCUUAACAGUUUCACAUUCUUGAAAAGUCUAAGUCCCAAGUCUCCUCUGAUAUCUAAGGCAAACUCUUAGCUGCAAACCCCAGUAUAAAUAAAAAAUUAAACACUCAACAUUCAAUGGCACAAGAUAAACAUGUUUAUUCCAAAAGUUAUAAACAGGGGAGUACAAAGCAUUGAGACCAAAGCAAGUCCAAGAUCCCGCAGGGAUUAAAUCCUGUAGUUCCAUGCGCAGCAUACAAUGCCAUCUGUGACAAAUUGUGAGCUACAAAGGGCGGGGAAGGCACCACCCCUAUGGCAGUUUAGGUGGUUGUAGCUCCCAUGGCUUCUCUCUUGGGCCUGCUAUGCUCUCUCCUUGCUGGUUUUCUCAAAUGAUUCACAUUCUUGGCUUUUCCAAACUUCUCCUCUGCACCUCUCAUUUCACACUCAGUUUCACACACUGCUCUCUCAGGGGCACACUAGUCUCAGAGACCUUCUGAAAUCAGGAUAUAUGUCCUCUUAACCCCACAACUCUUGCAUUCCACAUGCACCUAAAACCAGUGCCAUAUGGGUGCUGCUGCCAGCUAGAGCAGUAGCCAGACUUCUCUCUUUCUCGGCUGAGGGGUUGAGUGCAGAUUGCUGAACACUCUGAAUCGAAUUCUGAGGAGCAAGUUUUCUAUGCUGCUGCCAUUCUGGAACACGGUGUGUCUACUGCACAGAUUCUGAGGCUGGAAGGCCAAUCUCAGGGCUGCCAGCAAGGCCCAACUGUGGCAAAGGCCUCUUCAGGCUACAGACUGCUGAUUUCUCAUUGUGAGUGGGGAAGCAACUGACAGGCCGGCCUGACAGCUGCUGAGUGAGAGACCCUUGCUUCUCCUCAAACCCUAGCACCCACAUUCAGCAGGGAUUGGGAGGAGGAACUGGGGAAGCUGGGCUUUCCCCAUACCUGGAAGUCCACAAGCUGUCAUCUGGUCAUUAUAACUUCCCUCCUCCUUCCAGGCCCUGGCCUGGGCUGUGGGCUCCACUCAUUGGCUCUGCUGUCUCUGGCUGUGCUUUGUGGAGUGGCAGAAGCAGGGAGCAUGCUCUGGACCCACGCUGGAUCUGCCCCCAGUGUGUGCUGAGAGCCUGCAGUGGAAGGCAGCAGGUACUCAUGUGAGAGUACAAGUGGGGUCCCAUCCUCUGGAGCCCAUAGACUAGAAGGGAAGGACCAACAGCGGACAAGCCAACAGAUGAAAAGUGGGUAAUAAAGGGAGGAGAGGGGCUGGGGAAUAUUCAGGUGGGCUUGUCAGAGGAGGUGUCUGCUGAGCUUAAGAGACUGGAGUGGCAGUAGACUGGAGGAGGAAGUAGCUUGCAGCAUGUAGGGAAAGCAAGCAAGGGGGCAGGGAGUGAGGAGAGGGGCAGAGACAGGUCAGAGACAGACAGCGAGCUGCACUGACCCCCAAGGCCCUGAGCAUCCUGAGAUGCUCCUUGGGGAGGUGGCAAGAAUGGCUUCUGAGAUGUUUCCUGACACCUCUGUGAAGACCUAGUGCCAUCGCAGUGUGCUGUGCUGAGUUUGUGGAGAAGGUGAUUGGAAGGAGGAGCUCUGCAGGAAGCUUGGGCUAUGAAGACUGUGCAGCAUGAGGAGAUACAUUCGUCUCCUUGACAGACUUUGUUCAUUUAUUUGUAGUGCUGGGAGGCAGGACUCCCUGGACCCAGGCCUGUGCCUGGGCAAGAACCAAAACUGAGCUGCACUCCCAGCUGUGGUCUUGACUUUAUUAGAGCAGCUCUGGGUUCAUGGCCACAUGGAGCAGAAGGUACAGAGAUUUCCUGCAGGUGCCUCCCCUACACAGGCACAGCAGGUGUGCUCUGCACACGCACAGCCUCCACUGCUGGCUGCUUCCCUCUGAAUUUGGAGCCUGUGGUUUAUAUUAAUAUCUGUGGUUGACGUGCAUUCCAUGGGUUUGAACCCAUGUCUUUGGGUUUGAACAUAUACCCACCAACGUCCCCACGCAGUCGAUAUCUUACUAAUCCCUAGUCUUCUGACUAUUCCUCUCUGCUUCUCCCAAUGCCUGGGGAUGGCUGAUCUUUUCACCCUCUGUAAUUUUCCCUUCCCCAGAAUGUUGGACCCUAAGCAUACAGCCCUCCAGAUUGUCUUCUUUUUCCAAUAAGCAUUUAAAGUACAUGGCGUUUCUUUUUGUUGCAUGGUUCUUGAGAACCUACCUGCAGCAGAGAGAGGGAACCAGGAAGUGUUGUGUGCGGGAGGGGUGGGCAGGAAACCAGGGGCCCAGGGCAGAGCUCCAGGAGUGAGGAGAUGGCUGUGACCCCAAGACUCAGUGUGAUUGGCUGUGGGUACAGCACACUGGCUGCCUGGCCACCGUCCUGCUGGAGUCCCCACCUGAGGCAGCCGGGGCUCAUAACCAGGUAGUAGCAGGGGUAGUGCUAGGAUCUCAUGAAGUCCUCGGAGUGUGCCCUUCCUUGCCACGUGGAUACUUGCCCACAACUUCCAUCCAGCUCUCUUGCUGGGUGUGUGUCUUCACUUUAGGGAAGGUGUGGGACAAAACUCUCGUUCAUUGGCAGAGUGUACCCCACUCAGUCUCAAGGAAUGAAGUGGCAGGGGUGAGGGCAGGGCCAGCAUGUGGCUUUCAGGCUCCUGCUGGCAACAAGAAGCCAAAACCCAGAAGCCAGCAUGACUUAACUGAAGGACAAAAGAAGACGCUCCCAAAUAUGGGCAGACAGCACAUACCAAAGGGAGUCAGGGAAGAUGCCAGUCCUUGUGGCCCAUACUGCCUGCCUUUACAGGAUGAGAAGGAGAGCGAGAAGAGGAGAUCACCUGGAUGACUGGAGGAACCCGGGGAGGCAUGUUAGGCCUCGAGAUUGUGCUGUGAAGGGUGCCUGAAUGUUGUUAGGCCCCAGGAGUGACACUCACUGAACACUUCCAGAAAGAUGCUAAGCAUCAAUAGGUAGUGUCUUCCUUUGCAGUAACCACCUGCAUGUGAUGUGUGCGGAAGAUUCAAGCAGCUCUAGGAACAGGAGCCAGACAGCCUCAAGGACAGAGUCUCUUUCUUUGGCCCAUAGUGCAUGGCAUGCUUGCAUCGUUGGCAGUCAGCAGGGCCAAGGUCAGUGCCUGCAUCCUCUCACCAUGGAGGCCCCAUCAAGGAGACCCUGUGUGCCCAGCUGCCUGGGUCGUCUCACACAUGGAAGAACCUUAUGCAUAGCAUACCAUGUAGUUUUUAUUUACAUAGCCUUCUGGAUGGCUUAUUCUGCACUAGGAGAUGGUGAUUACCAAGUCCAACGAGCAGAAGGAUCCCUAAGAACAAAAAGCUAUCCUCCAAGGGAAAGUCCACAUGGUAAAGCAGAAGGAGCUUCACCAACACGAUGGCGCUACAAAGCCACCCAUGCUGCAACCUUUAACAUAAUCCAAUGGCUGGGGUGAUGGGCACCCUGUUAACAUCUCUUCCUAUUCUGCAAAUUAGGACUACCAACAACUGGUUCCUGGGGUGGGAAACACCUCUACAGGUGAGGGGCACAGGACAAGACCAGGCAUUGACACACAAUACCCAGCCAAGGCAGAAUGACAUAGCCCUCUACCCAAUGCUCAGCCUUCUCAGGGUAGUUUUUUUUUUUUCUGAGGGCCAAAGCCAGGCCACAAAACAGCUGCAGGGUCCAUGCAGGACAAAAAGAGUCAGCGACAAAUGCCAACAGAACCCCGAAUGACUUGCAAAAGAAGGGUAGGACUUCCAAAUAGGUUUGUGCCAGCUUAGCAAAGUCCAGUAUCAACCAGGAAACCUAUGGGUUGCUCCCCCCGCCCCCCACAGUUAAGGUUACUCAGGGCUCAGGAGGAGUGGAUGAACCCUGAAAUUGUCAAUCUUUUUCCAAUAAGACCCAAGGAGUGGUGUCCCCUUUCUCCAAUUUGACCUUUAAUUUUGGACAAUACUUUUUCCAAUGGCCCAAUUCUUUGUGAUAUGCACAUUGAUUCUUGUCUAGCAGGGUCUUUAUUAGUUGGUUUUUCCUUUUUGCCUUGAGUAUGUCCUUCUACUAGUACAGCCAAGAUCUUGGUUAAUUUUUUUCUCUUGUGGGUCUUCCCUGUUGUCAAAAACCUUUUGGGCUAUUUCUAUCAACUGACCUAUCAUCAUACCUUUAAAACUCUCUUAAGUUUUGCAACUUUUGUUUAGUAUCAGGGGCCAAAUGAGAGAUGAAUGCUAUAUUAAUAACUCAUCUAUUCUCUGGUGCCUCUGGGUCUGUAGAUACGUGUAUAUAUAUAUGAUAGGCCUCUGGGGGUUGCUCAAGGAAAGCCGAUGGAGACUCAGAGGCCAAUUGUCUUACCUCAGUUACUUUUGAUAAGUUGGUCAGCUUUUGGGUGGCACUUUGGAGUGCCACAAGAAGAGUCUGACGGUAUCAAUCGAGAGUCUCCUUGCUUCCAUCUGUAUUGAGGUCCCAGUUAGGGCAGGUCAAAGGGAAAACAGCAUUGAGCCUCAUUAAGUCUGAAGUGGGUUUCCCAUUAGCAUCUAGGACAGAUCGACACGCCAAGGUCCAGAUUCACUCGCAUUCCUCAGAUGUGAAGAGAGUCUGCAAGAGCUGCUGGCAGUCAUCCCAAGUCAGUUGAUGGAUGAGAGUGCCGAAACCUAGCCAUUAGACCACUUGAUCAGGGUGCAUGGCUGGCUUAUGAGGGGGUCUGAAAAUAACUUGAUGGACCUGUUGAGAGACUUGUAAGUUAAAAGUUCCCUGUGAAGGCCACCCGACACCAAAAGAAGGCCAUUCGAGUUCACAGAAAGUUCUCAGCCUUUUAGAAUAGACAAGAUCUCCAUAUCUGGCACCUUGAUCCCUAAAAUCCUUAAAAUGAUUAAGAACUAGUUGCAGGGGUGACAAAGGGGAGGAAGCUGUUCGGCCCAUAAUAGUAGACACCCAAGAAAAGGAAUGCAGAGAAGUGAACGAAGACAAGAUGGUGGAGGCCUGCCACACAGACAAAGACAAGGUGGCAGAAGCCUGCCCCAGAGACAAAGAACUAUCCAAAAAGCUACAACAACUGGAGUUCUCGACUUUGCAACCAGGAGCUGGUUAAAAUCACCAGGUAGCCACUCUCCUGCUUGCUAAUUGUAGAACUGUCCCAGGAAUUUAAAAUAACCAAUUUGCUAGCUGUCGUCUAGCCUAGGAAGAGCAUGCUUUUCAAUUGAGUAACCCAAAUAGCCCCAUUAAAAAAUCAUCUAAUUUAGUUAACUCAAAUUAAUCAGCUAAAAGAACCUCUAGGAGACAGCUUACAUGUUAGGUCAAGCUCAAAUUAUAAGGGCUGUCAGCAACAGAUGAAUCAGGACUGGAACAGGAAGAUGAAAGUGUUUGGGAACUGAGACAAGAUCUCAGUGAAGUCUUGCCUAGGUGGAAGCAAGUCUGUAAACUUGACUGUCCAAAUGUGCACCCAACGGAGGCUGGUCCUCCUUCAAAUGGUGGUAAUGUAUUGCCUCAAAUGGGAGUAAGCCUGAAAACUUGACUCCCCAAGUCAUAGUAAGGAGAAAGACCGAGGAGCAAAACAAAAGUAAUACGUACUUGCCAGUAGGAAGCUGUGUUCAAAAAGAUCCUGAUGUCAUCUGAAGAGUGGGGGGGUGUGGGGGUGGUAAAUCCUGUAAAAGGUGGGACCCCGGACAGAGGAGCCCCCAAAUGAUAUGGGCAGAAAAAUGACAGACUCCAAAAAAAUUUUAAAAAGCGCUUUAUUAGCUGAGCUCAGUGGCAAAACAUCAGUCAGGAAAGUGUGCUCCUGAGCCAAGGGCUGCAGGAAAUUAUACAGUAGCAAGCCACAAGGGGAGGGGUUGGGGUCUUAGGAUCAGUUUGUCCCCAUAAAAGGAACCAGGGAGGCGGAACAAGCAGUUAAGGAGGAAGGGAGGGUGUUACAUGGUAGGUAUGUUACAAGGUUGCAACUUAACUGGCAGGUACACAAGUUUUACAGGAAGAGAACAAGUUAUAAUAAGAACAGCACAUUUUGGAUUUUUGAGCUUAUAAUAUAUAUUUAUAGUAAUGGUUUUUAAAUUCUUGUGUAGAUUGUUCUAGUAUCUGAACAGUCUUCUUUCCAGUUCCACCAAGAGCUUCACACUGAGCCAUAUCUACAGCCCUUUUUAAGCGUCUUGUUCAGAGACAAGGUCUCAGUAAGUCACUAAGCUGCUCACUAAGCUCACUAAGCUGGGCCUGGACCUGCAAUCUUUUGCCCUCAGGGUCACAGUGCCACAGCAUACCAUACCCCAGCCGGGACUAAGGACCACGCCAGCUUCCGCAAUGCGCUACGUCCCUCUUUAAAUUAGCCAACCCAUGCGCACCCCGCGCUCUACUCCGUACUCUGUGGCAACUCCUGAUUGGCCACAGCUGGAUAUAGUAGCCAGAGCCUGCAUCCCAUUCCCGCCCUGCUUCCUUGUGGCAGCCUGUGAUUGGUCAUGGCCAAAUAUAUAAACCAGAGCCCGCGUAAAUAAACUAGCAGUUAACUGUCGUCCACAAAAGUGUCUCCUGUCUCCUGUUUCAUUGGGGCUGCGCCGGUCAAGAUACCUCAAAAGGCAAGACAGCUGCGGACGCUCUGGCUCCAACCCCAAUUCACAAGGUAGAGACUGCAGCUGCAAAGAUUACUCCUACAGUCUCACUUCUACCCUGUCUUCAUAAGACAGUGCUACUGAGUUGACUUGAUUCAUUACUUGGAGACAUCCUUGAAGUGACUCCCAAGGUCCUGCUCAUUGCCUGCACUUUCCUCAGUCUCUCCGCCCUUUGUCCUUGGUCCUAAUGUAAGUGGACUGAUCCAGAGAAUCCUUUGUCUUUACCCUCAAAGCCUCGAGCUUAAUUAAAUGGUUUUGACCCUCCUGGAACUGUAAAAAUCAUAGUUUGUCUCUUUAUUUAACCUCCGCCGUACACUUGUUUGGGAGAUCGGGGAUCUAGGACAGAACCCGAUAGGGCACACUUGCGGGUAUAUCUGGAUGGAUCUUGGCAGUGUGAUCUUGAGGUCUGUGCCCCAGGCCUUUCUGUUGUGCUGUGGGUUGUUAUCAGCAGUGACAGCCAUUCUGUUCCCCAACUGGCCAAACCAAAGGAUCUUUUCCAAACGGAUAUUUCUCUGAAUGUUUCAGAGACAGCUAGGAUGUGACAUGGAGCUGUGCUCACCACAAGGUCUGUGUGUCAAAACCUAUCAAUUCUGCUUCUGUUAGCUUCUAUGAUUCCCAUCUGCUGCCCUGCAAAAGAGACAGACAGUUUAUAAUUGGGGCCAAGACUUUGGAGAUUAGUCCUCUGGGUCUGCUGGGGCACAGGAGUAAAAAAUAGUUUCCUUUUUGUCUUCUGAGUCCCUGGAUACUAUGGGCUCAAUUUCCCCCUCCCUCCCCUGCACAGUAACACUUGAUACAAUGUAAAAGCUACAGGCACAGUCUUUUUCCCAACUAUGUGUGGUCUGAUUAGUUGUACCCACAUAUUUUGAACCCACAGAUAUGAAGGGGCUACCACAUUUAGGAAAACUCAUGCUGGAGGAGCACUGGUUUGCUUUCUCAAAGCCGGGGUGGAGGUGUCUCUAAAAAAGUUUAAGAAAGACCAACCAAACCUGAAACAGCGCACUCAGAGAUGAGCGCGGAUAAAACUUCCUCAAAAUGGCAUAAAACUCCUUCCACAGCUCUUUGCAUUUCACCUGGGAGGAGGAGAGGGGAGAGAAUUAGGAGGAACCAAGGCGUCUGGAGACAGCUGCAGCCCAUCUCACAGGACAGGUGGAUUCGGGAAAUGGCAGGCGCCUGGCACACCACAGUGGAGCAGGAGUUCCACCUGUUUUCUGCAGAGACUAAGAAAGCAGAGCCCCUGGCAGCCUCUGAAGCCAGUCCUCCCAGACCCUGAGCCCCGGAAGCCAGUCCCCCAUCUGGAUCCAUGUGUUUACCUGUGUCCUCAUCUGCUAUGCUCUGCCACCUGGAUGGUGGGGGCCAGGGCUUUGCCUGGGGAUGUGACCUGAGAGAGAGGACCUGACUCUUCCAGCCCUCUCCCCUCCCUCCCCAGCUGAUCUCCGGCCUGAUUCAGGUGGGCUCAGCUCUGUCGUCACAGUGUUUUUCUUCUGCUCUAACCUGUUCCUGGCUCAGAGGUUUGAAUCACUGAGAAGUGCAGCUCUGACCAAGUGGAGACCGCUGACCUGCCGCAGCCAUUGGACCCCAGUUCACAUGAAUGCUUUUCUCCUCUGGGCCACAGGAGUACCUAUCACUGGCAUCAGGCAUGGGAGGAUCAUGUUAGGCAGCAUGGGGCAUUGUGUCACAGUACCUCCACAUAGUCUGGAGAAAUUCUUGCAUAAGUUUCUGUAAACCAUCAGAAUGAGCUUGUCAGGGAUGUCCCUCCAGGCUGCAUGUGGGCAGUGAGCUUCUGGUGGGUCAGAGCAUCUCCUACCCUACUUCUCUUGUCUGGUCCUUCUUUCUAGAACUUGGUCUGUGCUGGCCUGUGAUUCAAGCCUGUGAUGCCCAGCAUCUGCCCUGUCCUAGCCACAAUUCGGGUCCUUGGUCCUGAUACCUGCUCUGCCUGCCCAUCCCUGAGCUCCAGACCACAUCCCUGUUAGGGUUGUGCCUCUCAAACCAGGUGCAGGGAGGUCCAGCUCUCUUUUUGUUAAUAUCCAAACCGUCAUGACCUAUUGUUCUAUCAAAUGCAACAGGAAUGAAUUAGUAGAAAAUGAUCUUCAUUUGAUCAUCCCUGCAGUGUGCAGUUGUCAUGCCAAUGAGCAGGCACAUCCCCCACUGUGACACUUGGUGAGCAGCUGACCUGCAGGGUGAGCCAUCCUUAAAAGCAUAUACAGGGAAGUCACCUGGCCCACACUGUGCCCUCCUCCUGUCCUUCCUUCCUGCCCUCUGGGAUGGCUUCCUGUCCUCUGCCCUCUUGUGAUCCAGAUGCAAAUAGUUUUGCUUCCCCCUGCAACCUAUCUGGCCUCUCUUGUGUGCUUUCAUUUUACCCUUACCACUUACAUUUGGACCAACCAGCUACUUGUAACUGUGACUCUGCUCCUGCCACAGCUGUUCCCUGUGGCUGACCUGAAUGCUUCAUGGACCGUGUCUCUGGCUGGAGUAGAUGGCCUUCUUUGGGGUAUCCUUGUCACAGCAUGGCCCUCCUCCUGCACCAGAUGUGGUCUACUGCCCAUGAUCCCCCCAGAACCCCUAGUGCUGGCUCCUGCAGCCACUUCCCCAUAGACUCCUGUGCCUUGCUCUUGCCACCUGAGAUACUGCUCUUCUUUGGGGCCAUCUCACUGCCAAACCUCUCAACAGCUGGGGUCCAUCCUCUGGGGAGCACCCCUACUGGAACUAGAUCCUUCUUUGGUAGGAUUUCGGUGGAUUUUUACUCAAUAGAGAUUUCUGUGUCUCGCUCACCAAGUGAGAUCUCCCCAUCACACCCGGGAUUAUAUACUCCCUGUGGACAAGAGUAGUUCCUCCCCACCAUGCCUUAUACCACGUUUUCCAUAAGCUAGCUUAGCAGAAGAAACCAGGAGCUUGAGAAAUUUUUUUUUGUUAUUUUUUUAUGCUACUGGAAAUUGAACCUAGGGUGUCACCUUGCUAAGCAAGCAGUCUUGCACAAAUUUCACCCCCAGCAAUUUUAGAAAUAUCUGGACAUUAAAUAACUCAUUCCUGAGUCACAGAGGAAAUUAGACAAUUCCUGGAAUCAAAGGAUAAUGCCAAUACAAUGUACCAGGGUCUAAAGGAACACAAUGAAACCAGUGAGAACAGAGUUUAUUGUGAAUGCUCGCAUUACAAAAAGUGAGGUAAAUAAUAAUAAAAGUAACCUAUAGAAACUAGAAACACAGGAACCAUGCAAGUCCAAAUUUAGCACUAUGAAGAAAAUUAUAGUAGGAAUUAACAAAAUAUACAAAUAAUAGGAAUUAACUAAAACAUACAAACAAAUCAAAGAGCUUGUUUUUUUAAAAGAAUAAAGUAGACAAAUCCUUAGUCAAUCUUAUCCAGAAUUGGGGGGGGGGAUCUAAUGUAAUUAGAAAUGAGAAUGGCAAAGAACACUACUGAAAUUCAGGUCAUUAACGACUAUGAAAAUUUGUACUGCAACAAAUUGGAGAGUGUUGAAAAAAUGGACAGAUUUCUAGACAUAUAUGAAUAUUAAGACUUAGCCAGGAAGAUGCAGUGAUCCCUUGGUUCAUGAAUUUAAUUCUUGGUGUCAAACAGAAUUGGAUGAGAACUAAAUCAAAUUCAGUGGUGAGGUUCAAUGUGGAGCCUAUGGAGGAAAUUCUCUUUGGUUCUUGCCCAAUUGUGUUCGAGACCUGAAUCUUGGAUAGAAAUAAGUUUCUGAAGUGAGGUUCCUCUACAGAAGGACAGUGAAUAGCCAAUAACAGAUUAUGAAGUUGAGGCAGUAAUUAAAAACCUAACAACAAAAAAUAAUAAAUAAAAAUCCUAACAAUUAAGAAAAUCCUAGGAUUUGAUGGAUUUCACUGCUGAUUUACAAGACUUUUGGGGAGGAUAUAAUACUGCUCCUCCUCACACUCUCCAAAAUGGUAAGGGAAGGACUACUUCUAAACUCAUUCCUCGAUUACUCUGACAGCAAAAUAAAGAAUUCCUAGAAUUAUUCUGAUUGCAAAGCAAAACAAACAAAACCUUGACACAGCAAUAGCAAAAAACUACAGGCCAAUAUCUUUAAGGAAUAUAGAUGCAAAAUUCCUCUGAAAGAUACAGGCGAUGUGAUGCACAAUUAUCAUGAUCACAAACCCUGAUCAAGAAGUUUUCAUCCCAGGGAUGCAAGGAUGGUUUGACCUAUGGAGAGUCAUGAAUGUACUACAUCAUAUAUAGAGAAACCAGGACAAGAACACAGGAUCAGCUCAAUAGAUGCAGAAAAACCUUUUGACAAAAAUCCACCAUUCAUAUUAAAAAUGCUGAAGAAAAUAGGUAAUGAAGAUUAUCUCAAUCCGAUAAAAGCCACAUACAACAAGGCAUUGUCAUAUUAAAUGGAGCAAAACAAAUGAAAAGUUCCAUCAAGAGCUAGGAUUAAUAACCAAAGUCAAAAUAUGGCAGGAUACCAAAAUCAGUAGUGUUCCUGUACAUCAGUAAUGAACCAAUUGAGAAAUUGGGAAAACAGUAUGGUAAUAUUCACAAUAGCAUAAAUAAAAAUUAACUACUUAGGAAUUAACCUAACCAAGGAAAUGAAAGCCCUCUACAGUAACAAGUAUAGUACUCUAAAAAAAGAUAUCAAAGAGGCCAUCAGAAAGCAGAAAGAGAUCCCCUGUUCUUGGAUAGGCAGGAGUGCUAUAUUCAAAAUGGCCACAGUUCCAACCAUUUCAUGCAAUCUCAAAAUACCAACAGAAUUCCUCGCAGAAGUAGAGAAAACAAUCCUCAAAGUAAUGUGGAAUCAGAAGAGACCCAGCAUAGAAAAAGCAAUCCUGGGUACCAAGCAAGAGACCUCACAGUUCCAGAUUUCAAGUGAGAUCACAAAGCUACAGUGAUAAAACAGCAUGGAAGUGGCACUACAACAGAUUUGUGAGUGAGUGAAGGAGAAUAGAAAAUGUAGAAACAGGGCCAGAUGCCUUCAGCCAUCUGAUGUUUGACAAAGGGCCCAAAAAGCAUGCUGGAGGAAACACAGUCUCUUUGGCAAAUGGCACUAGUUGGAUUCCGGCAUACCCAGAUAAAAAACACUUUUUUGUGUAAAAAACAUAUGCAAGAAAGUCACAAAUUUGAAAGUAAACACUAUUCAAGUCAUAUAUUUAAAUUAUCAUGGGUUUAGUUUCAUGAAAUUUUUUAUUUUUAUUUUUUUAUUGGUACCAGGGAUCAAACUCAUGACUGCCUGCGUGCAAAGCAGGUGCUUAUGCCGCUGAGUUAAAUCCCCAGGCCCCAUCAUGAAAUUUUUUAGACAAGAUCCACUACAUAAUCCAAGAUGACUUUGAAUUCACUAGGCAGCCCAGAUUUAAAUCAACCAAAUUUAAUAGCGAAUUAUAAAACUAAAGUGAGAAUCAGACACAACCAAGAUAAUCUCACUGCUCUUUUUUACUAGCCGAAAAAGCACAAUGUCAGAACAACAUCAACUGAAAAAUAUCCAGGAGAACAGACUCCUCAAACUCUGAUCAGCCACACUUGUUUUAAUAGCCUGAUGCCCUAAAGCUUAAGCCUUCUCAGAGUCGGGUAAAUCCCCUGGCUUACAACCUAAGAAUUCAGGCUAGCAUUUGUUGAGCUCUCUCUCCGUGUUUUAAUUUUGCAAUUUUUCUCUACUCAACUUGAUUGGCAUCAUUUCCGUAGCUCACCGCAGUGUGAGGGGUGGGCAUUUGUCCCUCUCAUUUUCCAGCGCUUCCUCUUCCAUCUUUUGGGGACAAAAGAGCCCCCCAGCUCUCGAAAUCCGGCAGUGUUAUUGAGGGACUCCUCUCCUUCAGAGCUCUCAGGCCUCCCCAGUGAGCUGCAUUCCUGUUACCAGUCUCAGAAGUCUCUGCAUUUGGCUAUCGUCAGUUGUCUUUUUUUUUGGGGGGGGGGGUACCUGAAAUCGACUCAGGACCUUGUACUUGCCAGGCAGGUGCUGUGUCACUGAGCUGUAUCCCAGGCCGGUUUUUAACUGGGGUUUGAAUCCAGGACCUUCACAUCCCACCCACACCACCCUUGUUUAUUAAAAUUUUGAGACAGGGUCUUGCUAAGGUGCUGCGUGGCCCAGGCUAGACUUGAGUUUUUGAUCCUCCUGCCUCAGCCUCCUAGGGUGCCGGGAUUAUAAACCUGUGCCACCAUACCUGGCUUCUCAGUCUCAUUGGUUCAUAUACUAUUUAUUAGGAAGGCAUUCAGACACCCUUGGCCUUAUUUUCUCUUGCGUUAUGGCUUAAAAUGCUGGCCAUUCUUCCUUCGCUGUCAGACUCAAGGCUCAUCCAGCCAGCGAGCAACACGUAGGAGGUUGCAGACUGGCUGAGGGAUUCUAGCUUAAUGGACGGGUUAUUUGGGAAUACAGCAUGUACAAUCAUCCCAGCACAGGCCUCUUGGGGAGUCAUAGACGGCUUUCCCUGGUGAUGAAUUAUCUUGGGUUGGAUUUUAAAAAUUCACAAAGUGAGACCAGAAAACCACCCACCCACCUGAUCCAGGGCGGGCUCGCGAGGGCGUGCCUUACGAGCUGCUUUGCGGACUCCUCAAAUUCUAGGCGAACGGAGCCUCGGACGUCCCUGCUGGAGACUCUGGGAACUGCAGCCUUCGGUGUGCGGGUCGCGCGUCCUCUGGGCUGCAAGGGUGCAGCGGCUCAGGUCUCUUGCAGGGUCGUUUGGCUGCAAGGUGAGGAAGUGUCUGGCCACGAACUGCACGCAGCUCAUUCGGCGAGUAUGUGCUGGUCCUGAGUGAGGCUGUAGAUCUUCGUUUCCUGACCUGCAGCUGGUGAGGCGCAGGGCUUCCUGCCUCAAGCCAGAGUUUGCAUUUCUUAUUUCUAAAUUCCGUGGACUCUGAGUCUAUAAAACACCUUACCAAAAAUGAACUCUUAGGAGUUGAGUAGAAACUAGCAAGAGGUCCAAAGUGGGAAGCGGCGUGAAAUCUGCCAACAGGAUGUGACGUGGAGUGCAGGGCACUCUGGCCCUCUGAUGAAGGGCUUACAAGGACAAAGGAGGAAAGCGAUAGAGGGUGUAAAAAUGUGUGAUGGCUCUCCGACAAGAAUAUUAAAGCGACACGCAUUUCACACGGUAAGAGGACUGCAAAUCCAAAAAAAGCUGCUAUCAUCUGUGAAGCCAAGGACUAAAUAUUGAAAUUGGUGUGAGGAAGAUAGAAACACAUGGAGUUCCUACUCACAACAGCUGUGAAAAGAGCAUGUGUUGGCUCUUUGUGUUCUGGGGAGGGGUGGAUUAUAAACUCUCAGCGAGAGAACUGUGGACAUUUCUCUUCCCUUUAAAUCCUGCUAGCACCUCCGGAAUUCAAGCAUGCCUGUGAGUGAGCAGAAGACAUGAGACUUCCUGUUAUGUGGCCUCUGUGUGGUGGCAAGGGGAGGAGGCAGCCGAUGCACAGAUGGAGAGGUCAAUGGAUCUGGACUGAAAAGCACUUCUUUAGCACCUACCAUGCAGCGUUCACUUGCAGGUCACACUGCUUUCAGUCUGCACAGUAUGAAACUGGAUGGAUGUCUUGGCUUGUGCUGGUGCAGCCUGGAAGAAGGGACUCAGAGGGGAGGGCACCUUUUCACUCUGACCCUUUCCACAGCACCACACUCUGCCCUCUCCCACAAGUUCAGUCCGCUAAGUGGCAGUUGAGUGAGCAUCCAUUCUGGAGUGCAGUGUUGGGGACCAGGCUGUGCUAGAGUGUGUCCUAAGAGAGCUGCACUACCCACGUGACUUCAUGAUGCCCCUGAAUGUGUCCGGAGUGCCCACCACAAUCCAGACUCUAGUUUAAGAAUCCCGUCAUCUCACUUAGCUUACAGAGCACCAAGAAGGGUACUUCUAUACUGUUACCCUCAUCUCGAGAAUGAGGAAAUGAAGGCACAAAAGUUAAGCACCUGUCUAGUAUCACACAGUCUGGAGCAUCAGGUCUCCUAAAAAUCCAGGCUUUUCUAUCUGAUAGGCUGUGCAAGAGGAAGGACAGGAAAAGUGUAACAACUGUCUCUAACUGUUGAAAGUGAUCAUAUGAUGGAAACCAUAAGUUUGUCCUGUGUGUAUAUAGCAUAAGACCCCUCUCCCCUGGCAGUAAAUUCAGUUUCUUAGUUGUCCAGGUAAUAGUUCUGGUUACAGUCCUUGAUACUUUUGUCUCCCAGAAAUGCUGGUCACUAUGACACAUAUUGUAAGAAAUAAUCUCCAACUGACAAGCCACUCUGCCUCUGUACUUCCUGCUUGCUUAUCUUAUAUAAGCCCUAGACCACCAGAGGUCAAGGCCUAAUGUUCUGCAAAUGACCCCAAUCGGUGUCUGUCGACAUAAAUAAAUCAGCCUCCAAA